UUUAAGAAGCGCGAGGACUUUGGGCCAACCUCCCAUCCGUGUCUAUUGUACCCUGUUGCUUCGGCGGGCCCGCCGCUUGUCGGCCGCCGGGGGGGCGCCUCUGCCCCCCGGGCCCGUGCCCGCCGGAGACCCCAACACGAACACUGUCUGAAAGCGUGCAGUCUGAGUUGAUUGAAUGCAAUCAGUUAAAACUUUCAACAAUGGAUCUCUUGGUUCCGGCAUCGAUGAAGAACGCAGCGAAAUGCGAUAACUAAUGUGAAUUGCAGAAUUCAGUGAAUCAUCGAGUCUUUGAACGCACAUUGCGCCCCCUGGUAUUCCGGGGGGCAUGCCUGUCCGAGCGUCAUUGCUGCCCUCAAGCCCGGCUUGUGUGUUGGGUCGCCGUCCCCCUCUCCGGGGGGACGGGCCCGAAAGGCAGCGGCGGCACCGCGUCCGAUCCUCGAGCGUAUGGGGCUUUGUCACAUGCUCUGUAGGAUUGGCCGGCGCCUGCCGACGUUUUCCAACCAUUCUUUCCAGGUUGACCUCGGAUCAGGUAGGGAUACCCGCUGAACUUAAGCAUAUCAAUAAGGCCGGAGGAAUUUUUUAA
rnacentral:misc_RNA from 1 species